rnacentral:rRNA from 1 species
GAUGAACGCUGGCGGCGUGCCUAAUACAUGCAAGUCGAGCGAACAGAUGAGGAUCUUGCUCCUCUGACGUUAGCGGCGGACGGGUGAGUAACACGUGGAUAACCUACCUAUAAGACUGAGAUAACUUCGGGAAACCGGAGCUAAUACCGGGUAAUAUAUUGAACCGCAUGGUUCAAUAAUGAAAGACGGGUUUUGUGUCACUUAUCGGUCGAUCCGCGCCUCAUUAGCUAGUUGGUAAGGUAAGGGGUUACCAAGGCAACGACGCGUAGACGACCUGGGAGGGUGAUCGGCCACACUGGAACUGGGACACCGUCCAGACUCCUACGGGAGGCAGCAGUAGGGAAUCGUCCGCAAUGGGCGAAAGCCUGACGGAGCAACGCCGAGUGAGUGAUGAAGGUCUUCGGAUCGUAAAACUCUGUUAUUAGGGAAGAACCAAUGUGUAAGUAACUAUGCACGUCUUGACGGUACCUAAUCAGAAAGCCACGGCUAACUACGUG